CUACGGGCGGCAGCAGUGGGGAAUAUUGGACAAUGGGGGAAACCCUGAUCCAGCAAUGCCGCGUGUGUGAAGAAGGCCUGCGGGUUGUAAAGCACUUUCGGUUGGGAGGACUGCUUCUAGCACUAAUAUUGUUGGAAGUUGACGUUACCUUCAGAAGAAGCACCGGCUAACUCCGUGCCAGCAGCCGCGGUAAUACGGAGGGUGCAAGCGUUAAUCGGAAUUACUGGGCGUAAAGCGCGCGUAGGCGGCUAGAUCAGUCGGGUGUGAAAGCCCCGGGCUUAACCUGGGAACUGCAUCCGAUACUGUCUAGCUUGAGUACAGGAGAGGAGAGUGGAAUUCCACAUGUAGCGGUGAAAUGCGUAGAUAUGUGGAGGAACACCAAUGGCGGAGGCAGCUCUCUGGCCUGAUACUGACGCUGAGGUGCGGAAGCGUGGGGAGCAAACAGGAUUAGAUACCCCCGUAGUC
rnacentral:rRNA from 1 species